UUUAAAUACGUCGGAACUCCCAUUGUACAGUUCUCUCCAGUGUACGGCUCUUAGAGCGUGUGCUGUCUGUCUAUGCAACAAAUGGAAAUGGAGAAAAUCGCCAGUGGAACGUGUCUCUCGUGUUUACAGUCGGAGAUCAGAGAGUUCACCUCUUCGCUGUCCUGUAGGUAGUUCGCUUCGAGCCUCCGCUAGCGAGAUGGAUUGAGUCGCCUUUUCCGGAUGCACGUGUGGACAUGGAGAACAAAAUGGAGUUUGGGAUCUCCACAGGUGCCGUGAGCACUAACUGAAGACUGCUUGGGGAGCAAGGUGGAGUUCCCUGCCGCCACAGGCAGUUGGGUGCCUGGCUACUGUCCCUGUUGAAGGUCUGGCGUCGGCCAGCUACCUUUUUGGGUGUCUGAAUUUGUGACCCGCGUGGCUGUGUAGGUAUGUCGGCUCAGUGGUACGGCUCCUCCCGUGUGACCACCUGCAGGCCGUUCAGCGAGGCUGGGCCUGCUCUGUGGCCCGUGUCCUUUCCUGUGGUGUCUGCUAGAGAGACCGGGGCGGUUUGAGGCUUUGCUGUCAGUCUCCGCGGCAAGGUUAUAUAAACCUCGGACACCGACGUACUCCCGCUGAUCGCCCUGCCCACCUCAGACUGCGAUGUAGGGUGACGGGCUUUCACCGGCAUUGGAAACGAAGCUUUUAUUCUACAAACGGUUCCUUUUGUUUUAAUGUAGAUUGUGUCUUAAGACCUGUUCAAAUGACUGCUUUAAUUCAGAACCAUGUUUUUUGAACUUAAACUUUUAAAGGUGAAUGUUUGUGUAGAUGCGAAGAUUGCCCAGAGUGCGAUUUUUCUCCAGCAGUACUGUUUCUUGUCCACAGGUGGCAGCACACGCAGGGAGGAGUGACGUCCAGCGCAUUGAUGUGAAAUGUUGAGCUUUUAACUAACUCUGAAUAAAUUUUUUUUUACUACAUUAA